rnacentral:rRNA from 1 species
CCUACGGGAGGCAGCAGUGAGGAAUAUUGGUCAAUGGGCGGAAGCCUGAACCAGCCAAGUAGCGUGCAGGAUGACGGCCCUACGGGUUGUAAACUGCUUUUAUACGGGAAUAACGCGCCUUACGUGUAGGGCUUUGCAUGUACCGUAUGAAUAAGGACCGGCUAUUCCGUGCCCGCAGCCGCGGUAAAACGGGAGGGCCGGGCGUUAGCCGGAUUUUUUGGGUUUAAAGGGAGCGUAGGCCGCAUGUCAAGCGUGCUGUGAAAUGUCCGGGCUCAACCCGGGCCUUGCAGCGCGAACUGGCGUGCUUGAGUCCGCGGAAAGCAGGCGGAAUUCGUCGUGUAGCGGUGAAAUGCUUAGAUAUGACGAAGAACCCCGAUUGCGAAGGCAGCUUGCUGCAGCGGAACUGACGCUGAUGCUCGAAAGCGCGGGUAUCGAACAGGAUUAGAUACCCCUGUAGUC